CCAACAGUUGAGCUAAAAUAAGCCAAGACCUCAGAGGAAUUUCCCUCUAUUGCUGUGUUGGACUGAAGCAAGAGAGCUGGCUCCUCUGCUGUUAGUUCAAUGGAGGGGACUUGAAUCCUGUGAACAAACCCAGAUGCCGGCUCUACCCUCUCUGUCCCAUAGAGCAAGCACCACAUGAGGAUCCUGUUUAUGCUUCUCGCCAGAUGGUGUUCCAGGCCUUUGAAACACACCACUCUCCAAAGGGCUUAUGAUGGGGAGAGAGACAGAGAGGAGUUAUGUCUCUCUCCUGUGAACAUUAUCCUUGGGCAUGUCCUGGAGAGAAGAAAAUCCAAAAAGGAAUACUUCCCAUU
rnacentral:lncRNA from 1 species